rnacentral:lncRNA from 1 species
CUUCCUUCCGACAUGUUCAGAAGACCCAGAGGGGAAAGACCCGAUGGUCGGAGAAAACGGAGGUGACGCAGCUCCAGGCUUGGACGAGGCAGCGGGUGAAGAGGGGGCGUGAGUUAUGAGGAUGACUUGGGUUAGAUCUUUUGCGAGAGAUUUUUUUUAUGUUUUUAUGUUUCGGCCUUGAAUGGCCUUGUUUUGUAUUUCGGGACUGGCUGUGUGGCUUUGAAUCCCUGUCGCUCCGCGGAUUUUAUUUUUAUGGUAAGAUAAUCGAAUGGCGCUUUUUAUGAGUUUGUGUGUAGCGGGGAGGAAGCUGAUGAGUUGUCGUCUCAUAUCCCUCUUCGAUUGUGAAAUGUUUCAUUCGAGAUCUGUUUCGAGAGUUUUUCCGCGAGAUGUGAAUUCUACGGGGGUGCUGAAGAUGUCGAAUAUAAACAUAGAGGUAUGGUUUAGGAAUCUCUUAUCUUUCGAUAUCAUGCCUUGAGAUGUUAGAGACCAGUGCGCUGGGUUUAGGACAAGACCUAGGUUUACUUUCGGUUUAAGGAUUGUGCGGUGACUAGCCGGCUAUCGUUUUUCCUGUUGCGAUUUCUUCCUGAUUCGUAUCGAUUUAAAGUCCGCGAUAGGUUCUCGGCUUAUACGACUUGUUUGAUACGAAUCGAGCAUCUCUCCGGAGACUGGAAGUGCUAGACCAAAAUUUUGGAUUUCUUUUAUAGCGCUAUUAUCCUUGUGUCGGAUGUAAGAGAGUCAUGUUCGUGAGAUGGCUAUGUCUGUUUAGGACGUUUGUGAGUUCGAUGUGAUCAGCAUCGGACUUGGUGGCGAAUGCCGUUGUUUUCUUUUAUUUUUAUUUUUUUGAUUUUUUUUGCGCAAAAUAAGUGUUAAUGUGUGCAUAUAUAUGUCUUUUUUGUGACGGAGGUUUCGUCUGUUCGGAAGAAAUAACCUUUGAGGCAUCUUUUGCGACGUCUCGCGAUGCUAAAGGUUGCUUCUCCUAAACGGCCGACUAAUUUCCGAAGACCUCGUACUGAUUUUACGGGUGAGGAUGUUUUGAUAAGUCGAAAACACCAAGAGCGUGGUAAGAAGUUUUGGCCGCGAUUUUUGGGAGUAUACGAGUAUACGUACCCACUCCCCCCCUUUUUAAUGAGGGAGGACAGCUGAAUUUGCCUUUCGGCAAACUGCCUACGUACUCCU